UUCCGGUUGAUCCCGCCGGACCUGACUGCUAUCGGAUUGAUACUAAGCCAUGCGAGUCUUUGUAGUAAUACAAGGCAGACGGCUCAGUAACACGUAGUCAACUUACCCUAUGGACGGGAAUAAUCUCGGGAAACUGAGCAUAAUACCCGGCGUACCACCAUUCCUGGAAUGGUUGGUGGUUAAAAUGAUUCGUCGCCGUAGGAUGGGACUGCGACCUAUCAGCUUGUUGGUGAGGUAAAGGCCCACCAAGGCGAUUACAGGUACGGGCUCUGAGAGGAGAAGCCCGGAGAUGGGUACUGAGACACGGACCCAGGCCCUAUGGGGCGCAGCAGGCGAGAAAACUUUGCAAUGUGCGAAAGCACGACAAGGUUAAUCCGAGUGAUUUCUGCUAAAGGAAUCUUUUGCCAGUUCUAAAAAUACUAGUGAAUAAGGGGUGGGCAAGUUCUGGUGUCAGCCGCCGCGGUAAAACCAGCACCUCAAGUGGUCAGGAGGAUUAUUGGGCCUAAAGCAUCCGUAGCCUGCUCUGUAAGUUUUCGGUUAAAUCUAUACGCUCAACGUAUAGGCUGCCGUAAAUACUGUAGAACUAGGGAGUGGGAGAGGUAGACGGUACUCGAUAGGAAGGGGUAAAAUCCUUUGAUCUAUUGAUGACCACCUGUGGCGAAGGCGGUCUACCAGAACACGUUCGACGGUGAGGGAUGAAAGCUGGGGGAGCAAACCGGAUUAGAUACCCGGGUAGUCCCAGCUGUAAACGAUGCAGACUCGAUGAUGCAAUGGCAUAGAGCUAUUGCAGUAUCGCAGGGAAGCCGUUAAGUCUGCCGCCUGGGAAGUACGUACGCAAGUAUGAAACUUAAAGGAAUUGGCGGGGGAGCACCACAAGGGGUGAAGCCUGCGGUUCAAUUGGAUUCAACGCCGGG
rnacentral:rRNA from 1 species